GACGGGGGAUGCGAGCGUUAUCCGGAAUGAUUGGGUGUAAAGGGUCCGCAGGUGGCCCGGUCAGUCCGCUGUCAAAGCCUGGGGCUCAACCCUGGAGAGGCGGCGGAGACCACCGGGCUUGAGUCCGGUAGGGGCAGAGGGAAUUCCCGGUGGAGCGGUGAAAUGCGUAGAGAUCGGGAAGAACGCCAAGGGCGAAGGCACUCUGCUAGGCCUGAUUUCGCGACUGACACUCAGGGACGAGAGCCAGGGGAGCGAAUGGG
rnacentral:rRNA from 1 species